CAACAGCACGCACCCCAACCGGGUUCCCACUAUCCAGAAAAUUCCAGGGUUCCCGGGCUCCUGGGUUCCCCUUCUGCCGGCACGCCUGCGUCAUGCGAAAGUAUUUUCAAUGGUAUUGUGUUUUUGGUGGUGGAUUACUCUCGAAGAGUAUAAAACCCCGAUCGGAUCGGCAUUACAGCACAGUUCUGUUCAAGAAACUAUCGAGUGAAGUCACCAGGCUCGUAGAUCAGAGCUGAGCCGCCACUUUAUGUGGCGGCCUUAGCCGUUAACUAAAGUUGUGUUUAUUAAAAAAAAGCUAAAAAGUAUAUCACACCUUCUUCCCGUUUUGGUGAUCUUGAUCCCAGGGGCACAAUAAAAAAAUUUACAGUGCUGCUGACGAUCAUAAAAAUUUUCAGAAAUCAGCAACAGGAUACGAUUUGAAAACUGAUCAAAAACAAGAUAAAUAUUUUUUUCAAAACUUGAACCAAACACUAAGAGAUAUUUCGAAUCAAAACAGAUUUUAUUAUUUCAUCAAGACUUCAAGAGAUCUGCUGAAAAAUCCUUCAAAAAAUGGGUUUGUGUAUCAUCACGCCCGAAAUACGACAAUAGCAGAACAUAAUACUAAUAAAUCCUAUAAAAACCAUCAGACACACCAGAAAACAAAAUGUAGUUGUGACAUCUAAAUGGUAUUAUUGUUACAAUGACAAUAAUUUAACUGAAAUUUCAAACUUACAUCAUAUAAAAGCAAACAGACUUUCAAAAACAAAACAUAACAUCAAUAGAAAAAAACUAAUUUUGAAAAAAGUCUUCUUUUGAAAAAGAAAAUCCAAAAACAAACAUCAAGGACCUUACCCAAGGAUGUCACGAGGAUGU